UACAGAGGGUGCGAGCGUUGUUCGGAAUUAUUGGGCGUAAAGGGCGCGUAGGCGGUGCGGUAAGUCACCUGUGAAAUCUCCUGGCUCAACCGGGAGCUUGCAGGCGAAACUGCCGUGCUGGAGUGUGGGAGAGGUGAGUGGAAUUCCCGGUGUAGCGGUGAAAUGCGUAGAUAUCUGGAGGAACACCGGUGGCGAAGGCGGCAUCCUGGACCGGCAUUGACGCUGAGGCGCGAAAGCCAGGGGAGCAAACGGG
rnacentral:rRNA from 1 species